AAAGGCGAAAAGAACCCCGGCGAGGGGAGUGAAAAAGAACCUGAAACCGUGUACGUACAAGCAGUGGGAGCACCCUUUGGGGUGUGACUGCGUACCUUUUGUAUAAUGGGUCAGCGACUUAUAUUCUGUAGCAAGGUUAACCGAAUAGGGGAGCCGGAGGGAAACCGAGUCUUAACCGGGCGUUAAGUUGCAGGGUAUAGACCCGAAACCCGGUGAUCUAGCCAUGGGCAGGUUGAAGGUUGGGUAACACUAACUGGAGGACCGAACCGACUAAUGUUGAAAAAUUAGCGGAUGACCUGUGGCUGGGGGUGAAAGGCCAAUCAAACCGGGAGAUAGCUGGUUCUCCCCGAAAGCUAUUUAGGUAGCGCCUCGUGAAUUCAUCUCCGGGGGUAGAGCACUGUUUCGGCUAGGGGGCCAUCCCGGCUUACCAACCCGAUGCAAACUGCGAAUACCGGAGAAUGUUAUCACGGGAGACACACGGCGGGUGCUAACGUCCGUCGUGAAGAGGGAAACAACCCAGACCGCCAGCUAAGGUCCCAAAGUCAUGGUUAAGUGGGAAACGAUGUGGGAAGGCCCAGACAGCCAGGAUGUUGGCUUAGAAGCAGCCAUCAUUUAAAGAAAGCGUAAUAGCUCACUGGUCGAGUCGGCCUGCGCGGAAGAUGUAACGGGGCUAAACCAU
rnacentral:rRNA from 1 species